GCUAAUACAUGCGCACAUACCUCUUCCCUCGUGGAAGGGUAGUGUUUAUUAGAUACAGAACCAACCCACCUUCGGGUGGUCCCCAGGUGAAUCAUAGUAACCGAACGGAUCGCAUUAUGACCUUUUGGUCGGCGAAGGAUCAUUCAAGUUUCUGACCUAUCAGCUUUCGACGGUACUGUAUUGGACUACCGUGGCAGUGACGGGUAACGGGGAAUUAGGGUUCGAUUCCGGAGAGGGAGCCUGAGAAACGGCUACCACAUCUAAGGAAGGCAGCAGGCGCGCAAAUUACCCAAUCCUGACUCAGGGAGGUAGUGACAAGAAAUAACAACACUGGAAAUUAUAUUUCUAGUGAUUGGAAUGAUGGGAAUCCAAACCCCUUUCAGAGUAACAAUUGGAGGGCAAGUCUGGUGCCAGCAGCCGCGGUAAUUCCAGCUCCAAUAGCGUAUAUUAAAGUUGUUGCAGUUAAAAAGCUCGUAGUUGGAUAUCUGCUGGAAGCAGCCAGUCCGCCCUUUGUGGGUGUGCACUUGGUGAAUUCUGGCAUCCUCCUGAUUGGUGUCAUCAUCACUUCAUUGUGUUGGUGGCAGCUGUCAGGACCGUUACUUUGAGAAAAUUAGAGUGUUUCAAGCAGGCUUGUUGCCUUGAAUACUGCAGCAUGGAAUAACAAGAUAGGAUUUCGGUUCUAUUUUGUUGGUUUCUAGGACUGAAGUAAUGAUUAAUAGGGACAGUUGGGGGCAUUCGUAUUUAACUGUCAGAGGUGAAAUUCUUAGAUUUGUUAAAGACGAA
rnacentral:rRNA from 1 species